GUUGGUGCUGUGAUUAUAAAAAAUUCCUCGUUCUGAGAGUGCUUAUGGAUUAAAUCCAUUUGCUUGAAAGACUCCUUAUACACCCAUAGAAUAUGAGCACCA